rnacentral:lncRNA from 1 species
UAGAUGGACACAAUGCCUUUAUUUGGCUUAUUCGUUUUUUUUAUGUGGCACUGAGAAUUGAACCCAGUGCCACACACAUGCUAGGCAAGUGCUCACUCUACCACUGAACCACAACCUAGCCCCUACAACUACUUUAACUAAAAGUAUUUUCAAUAUAACACAUUUAUUUUUUCUUAGCUACCAACUAAUCUUUUUAUGAUUUAGAAGAGAUUAACUUUACAAAUGAUAUUUUCCUUAUGUUUAUGUGCAAAUCAAAGAUUAUUUUGACUUUGAAUAAAUUACUAUGCUUGUAUUCUGUGUUGCCCAAAUUAUACAACAAAGUCCAAACACAUAAAACACAUUAACAAUAGGUUAAAAUAUUCCUAUACCAAUCUUCAAUUUUUCAUUUCUGUGUAUUACAUAUUUCUUCUCCCAUGCCAGAUGUGCCAGUUAUUAUCAAUCCUUAUCCAAAGUCUCUUUUUAUAUUUUCAUGUGGUCCUUUAGCUCUACUAAAGCAAUUACUAAAAGUGUAUGUAAAUAAAUACUCUUAUUCAGAAAUUUGAAAAACAUAUUAAUACAGAAGAAAGCUUCUGUAUCCAUAUUUUAUAGAGAAUUCAAUUUGUUUCAGAAUGACUUCUCAACUCCUAGAUGCCUAACUUAUUUUUUAAUCAGAGAAGUAUGUGCUAAUUCAGUUUGGCUCAUUUGACUGUUUUGCAAUCAAUCUGUAUUCUUAGCCAAACUGCAGCUAUGGAGAGCAAAAUCUUUCAACCUCUUUAGUAAGAAUAGCUAUUUUGUGUGUAGUGAAACUGAAUUUCUAUUUCUCAGUAAAGAGAAACAGGACACCACGAUACCACAGGUAACUUCUACAGCUUCCCACCACAGCACAGGGACAAAGGAAUGGAGUACAGAAGGACACCCAUUUGCCAUCCUAAUUUUUUUUUCUGGUUGCAUGUACAGUAUAUUCACACCACUCAGGUCUUUAUAUGUGUACUUACGGUAAUGAUAUCCAUCUAAUUCCACCAUCAUUUUUACCCCCAUUCCCUCUCCCUUUCCUUCCCACCCAUUUGCCCUAUCUAGAGUUCCUCUAAUCCUCCAUGAUCCCCCUCCCAAUCUCAGUAUAAAUUAGCCUCCUUAUAUCAGAGAAAAUAUUGGCCAUUUGGUUUUUUGGGAUUGGUUAAUUGCACUUAGCAUUAUCUUCUCCAACUCCACCUAUUUACCUGCAAAUGCCAUGAUUUUAUUAUCUUGUAUUGCCAAGUAACAUUCCAUUGUGUAUAUUUACAACAUUUUCUUUAUCCAUUCAUCUAGUGAAGGGCAUCUAGGUUGGAUCCACAGUUUAGCUAUUGUGAAAUGUGCUGCCAUAAACAUCGAUGUGGCAGUGUCCCUGUGGUAUGCUGUUCUUAAGUCCUUUGGGUAUAGACCAAGGAGUGGGAUGGCUGGGCCAAAUGGUGGUUGCAUUCAUAGCUUUCCAAGGAAUCUCCAUACUGCUUUCCAUAUUGCACCAAUUUGCAGUCCCACCAGCAAUGUAAGAUAGUGCCUUUUCCCCCACAUGCUCACCAACACAUAUUGUCAUAUGUGUUCUUAAUAGCUGCCAUUCUGAUUGGAGUGAGAUAAAAUCUUAGAGUAGUUUUGAUUUGCAUUUCUCUAAUUGCUGGAGAUGUUGAACAUUUGGAAAACUACCUCAUUUACAAUAGCCUCAAAAAAAAGUACUUGGGAAUCAAUCUAACAAAAGAAGUAAAAGACCUCACAGUGAAAACUACAGAACAAUAAAGAAAGAAAUUAAAGAAGACCUUAGAAGAUGGAAAGGUCUAACUUGUUCUUGGAUAGGCAGAAUCAAUAUAAUCAAAAUGACCAUACUACCAAAAGCACUAUACAGAUUUAAUGCAAUUCCAAUCAAAAUCCCAAUGACAUUUCUCAUAGAAAUAGAAAAAGCAAUCAUGAAAUUCAUCUGGAACAAUAAGAGACCCAGAAUAGCUAAAGCAAUUCUUAGCAAGAAGAGUAAAGCACAUGGCAUCACCAUAAAACACCUCAAACUAUACUACAGAGCAUGGUAUUGGCACCUAAAUAGACUGGUAGACCAAUGGUACAGAAUAGAAGGCACAGAGACUAACACACAUAAUUACAGUUAUCUUAUAUUAGACAAAGGCACAGAAAACAUACAUUGGAGAAAAGACAGCCUCUUCAACAAAUGGUGCUGGGAGAACUGGAAAACCAAUAUGCAAUAAAAUAAAAUUAAACCCUUGUCUCUCACCAUGCACAAAAUUCAACUCAAAGUGGAUCAAAGAUCUAGGAAUUAAACCAGAGGCACUGUGCCUAUUAGAAUAAAAACUAGGCCCAAAUCUCCUUCAUGUUGGAUUAGGCCCCAGCUUCCUUAAUUAAACUCCUAUAGCACAAGAAUUAAAAUCAAGAAUCAAUAAAUGGGAUGGAUUCAAACUAAAAAGCUUCUUCUCAGCAAAAGGAACAAUCAGUGAGGUGAAUAGAGGACCUACAUCUUGGAAGCAAAUUUUUACCACUCACACAUCAGAUAGAGCACUAAUCUCUAGGGGUAUAUGAAGAACACAAAAAGAUAAACAUACACACACACACACACACACACACACAAAAAUAGCCCAACCCAUCAACAAAUGGGCCAAAGAACUGAACAGACACCUCUCAGAAGAUGAUAUACAAUCAAUCAACAAAUAGAAAAAAAAAAUGUUCCACAUCUCUACUAUCCUAAUUUUUAACAUUGACUAUAAAACAGUUUUCUCUCUGGAGAGAAAAUUGAGGGGACAAAUAUGAGGGAAGAGAAUGAAGCUUACUCUCAUCACUAGAGCUGCUGAUGUGACUGAGGGAUUGAGAGCCACUACAGAAAUAGGAGUUUGAGGAAUCUAAUAUUGAAAAAAAAGAAAUUUUAACCUGUGUUCUGAGUGUUAUCUCAAUCCAAGAUAUUAACCUUGAAAUGUGUACUUUUCUCUGAAAUAUGUCAUCUUUAUUCUCAAGGCAACAUAGCUACACUGGUUAAUAAACUCAUGGUAAGUCAAAUAACUAACUAUAGGAUAUGAGUGUGUGAUGCAAUUUCUUCUACAUUUGUUUCAUUGUUUGUGAAACUAGCAUAAAAAUAUAACUCAACUAUAAGGUUAUUUGGGAAUUUAAAUUAGACAAAAUAUGUAACGCAUUUAGAAUAGUGCCCAUCUUUGAGAUCUUGAUUGACUUGAAGUACUUUGGAAUCUCCUGAUAAUAUUGAUGCGUCAGACAGAGGAUAACAUGUUGACAUGUUUAAUAGAUAAUCAUAAACUUGAAGAUAUAUAUAAUUAUUUCUUAAUUUUUUUUACAAAUUUCAGCAAAAUUUUACUACUGAUACUAUUGCCAUGAUAGUAUCAUUACAAGUCAUUGGUUCUUAACAAUUUGGAGAUAAACAUUAUUUUUAAAAAGGGUGAUCUCUUUCUUCAAGACAAAACCAAAAUAUAAAAGUUGUAGGCCAAGUAUAAGAAAUAACUCUCACACAUAAAUGCAUGAGGCGGAUGAGCCAGGAUUCAGGAAUACCGAGAUCUAACCAUUGAUUACAGUCCCUGUUGUGCUCUGGCUCCAGAAUGCCUUCUCAGAGACCACCAUCUUUCCCAAAGCUUUGGCAUAUCUGUAAAAAAAUUUUAAAAAAAGAGGAAGCCUGGGGCAAGGAGGUACUAUUCUCUUCUGCUUCGAUAAUUUAGCCCAUAGGUACAGAUUGCUUUCACAUCUGUAGAAGUACCUGGAUCCAAAGAGGGAAAAAUCAAACAGCCUAUUUCUUAGAAAAUAAAGGAAAAUAAAAUCAGCAGUAUCUGAGUAAAUUAAGGGAGAAUAAACUGCCAAUGUUCCUUCUAAAAUGCACUUAAUGUUAGCAUUUUCUAGCCUCCAGUCAGUUCUCAAGUAACAAUCUGCUUUCCUCAAAUUAGAUACAAUAACUGUGAGUCUUUGCCAAUAGUUCUAGUUUCUAUUCAGUGAUUAAACUUCUUGCCCUAUACUAAUUUGGGGCAUGUACACAGCACAUACAUACGACCCUGCACAUCAGUUAGUGAAAACUGUAGAAAUAUUGAAAUGCUGUGUCCCAUUUCUAGCAAGCCAAAAGGGUUUUCUUGU